GAUGAACGCUGGCGGCGUGCCUAAUACAUGCAAGUCGAGCGAACAGACGAGGAGCUUGCUCCUCUGACGUUAGCGGCGGACGGGUGAGUAACACGUGGAUAACCUACCUAUAAGACUGGGAUAACUUCGGGAAACCGGAGCUAAUACCGGAUAAUAUAUUGAACCGCAUGGUUCAAUAGUGAAAGACGGUUUUGCUGUCACUUAUAGAUGGAUCCGCGCCGCAUUAGCUAGUUGGUAAGGUAACGGCUUACCAAGGCAACGAUGCGUAGCCGACCUGAGAGGGUGAUCGGCCACACUGGAACUUAGACACGGUCCCGACUCCCACGGGAGGGCGCAGUAGGGAAACUUCCGCAAUGGGCGAAAGCCUGACGGAGCAACGCCGCGUGAGUGAUGAAGGUCUUCGGAUCGUAAAACUCUUUUAUUAGGGAAGAACAAAUUUGUAAGUAACUAUGCACGUCUUGACGGUACCUAAUCAGAAAGCCACGGCUAACUACGUG
rnacentral:rRNA from 1 species